rnacentral:rRNA from 1 species
GGUUAAGCGACUAAGCGUACACGGUGGAUGCCCUGGCAGUCAGAGGCGAUGAAGGACGUGCUAAUCUGCGAAAAGCGUCGGUAAGGUGAUAUGAACCGUUAUAACCGGCGAUGUCCGAAUGGGGAAACCCAGUGCAAUUCGUUGCACUAUCGUUAACUGAAUACAUAGGUUAACGAGGCGAACCGGGGGAACUGAAACAUCUAAGUACCCCGAGGAAAAGAAAUCAACCGAGAUUCCCCCAGUAGCGGCGAGCGAACGGGGAGCAGCCCAGAGUCUGAAUCAGCUUGUGUGUUAGUGGAACGGUCUGGAAAGUCCGACGGUACAGGGUGAUAGUCCCGUACACCAAAAUGCACAGGCUGUGAACUCGAAGAGUAGGGCGGGACACGUGGUAUCCUGUCUGAAUAUGGGGGGACCAUCCUCCAAGGCUAAAUACUCCUGACUGACCGAUAGUGAACCAGUACCGUGAGGGAAAGGCGAAAAGAACCCCGGCGAGGGGAGUGAAAAAGAACCUGAAACCGUGUACGUACAAGCAGUGGGAGCACCUUCGGGUGUGACUGCGUACCUUUUGUAUAAUGGGUCAGCGACUUAUAUUCUGUAGCAAGGUUAACCGUAUAGGGGAGCCGCAGGGAAACCGAGUCUUAACUGGGCGUUAAGUUGCAGGGUAUAGACCCGAAACCCGGUGAUCUAGCCAUGGGCAGGUUGAAGGUUGGGUAACACUAACUGGAGGACCGAACCGACUAAUGUUGAAAAAUUAGCGGAUGACUUGUGGCUGGGGGUGAAAGGCCAAUCAAACCGGGAGAUAGCUGGUUCUCCCCGAAAGCUAUUUAGGUAGCGCCUCGUGAACUCAUCUUCGGGGGUAGAGCACUGUUUCGGCUAGGGGGUCAUCCCGACUUACCAACCCGAUGCAAACUACGAAUACCGAAGAAUGUUAUCACGGGAGACACACGGCGGGUGCUAACGUCCGUCGUGAAGAGGGAAACAACCCAGACCGCCAGCUAAGGUCCCAAAGUCAUGGUUAAGUGGGAAACGAUGUGGGAAGGCACAGACAGCCAGGAUGUUGGCUUAGAAGCAGCCAUCAUUUAAAGAAAGCGUAAUAGCUCACUGGUCGAGUCGGCCUGCGCGGAAGAUGUAACGGGGCUAAACCAUGCACCGAAGCUGCGGCAGCGACACUAUGUGUUGUUGGGUAGGGGAGCGUUCUGUAAGCCUGCGAAGGUGUGCUGUGAGGCAUGCUGGAGGUAUCAGAAGUGCGAAUGCUGACAUAAGUAACGAUAAAGCGGGUGAAAAGCCCGCUCGCCGGAAGACCAAGGGUUCCUGUCCAACGUUAAUCGGGGCAGGGUGAGUCGACCCCUAAGGCGAGGCCGAAAGGCGUAGUCGAUGGGAAACAGGUUAAUAUUCCUGUACUUGGUGUUACUGCGAAGGGGGGACGGAGAAGGCUAUGUUAGCCGGGCGACGGUUGUCCCGGUUUAAGCAUGUAGGCUGGUUGUCCAGGCAAAUCCGGAUAAUCAAGGCUGAGGUGUGAUGACGAGGCACUACGGUGCUGAAGUAACAAAUGCCCUGCUUCCAGGAAAAGCCUCUAAGCAUCAGGUAACAUCAAAUCGUACCCCAAACCGACACAGGUGGUCAGGUAGAGAAUACCAAGGCGCUUGAGAGAACUCGGGUGAAGGAACUAGGCAAAAUGGUGCCGUAACUUCGGGAGAAGGCACGCUGGUGUGUAGGUGAAGCCCCUGCGGGUGGAGCUGAGACCAGUCGAAGAUACCAGCUGGCUGCAACUGUUUAUUAAAAACACAGCACUGUGCAAACACGAAAGUGGACGUAUACGGUGUGACGCCUGCCCGGUGCCGGAAGGUUAAUUGAUGGGGUUAUCCGUAAGGAGAAGCUCUUGAUCGAAGCCCCGGUAAACGGCGGCCGUAACUAUAACGGUCCUAAGGUAGCGAAAUUCCUUGUCGGGUAAGUUCCGACCUGCACGAAUGGCGUAAUGAUGGCCAGGCUGUCUCCACCCGAGACUCAGUGAAAUUGAACUCGCUGUGAAGAUGCAGUGUACCCGCGGCAAGACGGAAAGACCCCGUGAACCUUUACUAUAGCUUGACACUGAACAUUGAGCCUUGAUGUGUAGGAUAGGUGGGAGGCUUUGAAGCGUGGACGCCAGUCUGCGUGGAGCCAACCUUGAAAUACCACCCUUUAAUGUUUGAUGUUCUAACGUUGGCCCCUGACCGGGGUUGCGGACAGUGUCUGGUGGGUAGUUUGACUGGGGCGGUCUCCUCCCAAAGCGUAACGGAGGAGCACGAAGGUUAGCUAAUCCUGGUCGGACAUCAGGAGGUUAGUGCAAUGGCAUAAGCUAGCUUGACUGCGAGCGUGACGGCGCGAGCAGGUGCGAAAGCAGGUCAUAGUGAUCCGGUGGUUCUGAAUGGAAGGGCCAUCGCUCAACGGAUAAAAGGUACUCCGGGGAUAACAGGCUGAUACCGCCCAAGAGUUCAUAUCGACGGCGGUGUUUGGCACCUCGAUGUCGGCUCAUCACAUCCUGGGGCUGAAGUAGGUCCCAAGGGUAUGGCUGUUCGCCAUUUAAAGUGGUACGCGAGCUGGGUUUAGAACGUCGUGAGACAGUUCGGUCCCUAUCUGCCGUGGGCGCUGGAGAAUUGAGGGGGGCUGCUCCUAGUACGAGAGGACCGGAGUGGACGCAUCACUGGUGUUCGGGUUGUCAUGCCAAUGGCACUGCCCGGUAGCUAAAUGCGGAAGAGAUAAGUGCUGAAAGCAUCUAAGCACGAAACUUGCCCCGAGAUGAGUUCUCCCUGAG